rnacentral:rRNA from 1 species
UGCAAGUCGAACGGAAACGAUGGAAGCUUGCUUCCAGGCGUCGAGUGGCGGACGGGUGAGUAAUACUUAGGAAUCUGCCUAUUAGUGGGGGACAACUCGAGGAAACUCGAGCUAAUACCGCAUACGCCCUAAGGGGGAAAGCGGGGGAUCUUUCGGGACCUCGCGCUAAUAGAUGAGCCUAAGCCGGAUUAGCUUGUUGGUGGGGUAAAGGCCUACCAAGGCGACGAUCCGUAGCUGGUCUGAGAGGACGAUCAGCCACACUGGGACUGAGACACGGCCCAGACUCCUACGGGAGGCAUCAGUAGGGAAUAUUGCACAAUGGGCGAAAGCCUGAUGCGGCAAUGCCGCGUGUGUGAAGAAGGCCUUAGGGUUGUAAAGCACUUUCAAUAGUGAAGAAAAGCAUAAGGAUAAUACCCUUGUGUCAUGACGUUAACUAUACAAGAAGCACCGGCUAACUCCGUGCCAGCAGCCGCGGGUAAUACGGAGGGGUGCAAGCGUUAAAUCGGGAUUACUGGGGCGUAAAAGCGCGCGUAGG